UACAGAGGGUGCGAGCGUUGUUCGGAAUUAUUGGGCGUAAAGGGCGCGUAGGCGGCGCCACAAGUCACCUGUGAAAACUCUGGGCUCAACCCAGAGCCUGCAGGCGAAACUGUGGUGCUGGAGUAUGGGAGAGGUGCGUGGAAUUCCUGGUGUAGCGGUGAAAUGCGUAGAUAUCAGGAGGAACACCUGUGGCGAAAGCGGCGCACUGGACCACAACUGACGCUGAGGCGCGAAAGCUAGGGGAGCAAACAGG
rnacentral:rRNA from 1 species